GAAAGAAGUAGCUUAACUUAAAGCAUAACGCUGAAAACGUUAGGAUAGCCUCAUAAACUCUCA
rnacentral:tRNA from 1 species